rnacentral:rRNA from 1 species
UUGGAGGGCAAGUCUGGUGCCAGCAGCCGCGGUAAUUCCAGCUCCAAUAGCGUAUAUUAAAGUUGUUGCAGUUAAAAGCUCGUAGUUGAAUUUCGGGAUCAGUUGGUCGGUCGUGCCUCGGUACGUACUGGUCAAAUUGAUUCCUACCUUCUGACGAACCACGAUGUCAUUAAUUUGGUGUCGCGGGAAAUCAGGACUGUUACUUUGAAAAAAUUAGAGUGUUUAAAGCAGGCUCGCGCUUGAAUACAUUAGCAUGGAAUAAUGAAAUAGGACGUUUGAUUCUAUUUUGUUGGUUUCUAGGAUCGACGUAAUGAUUAAUAGGGAUAGUUGGGGGCAUUAGUAUUCAAUUGUCAGAGGUGAAAUUCUUGGAUUUAUUGAAGACUAACUACUGCGAAAGCAUUUGCCAAGGAUGUUUUCAUUAAUCAAGAACGAAAGUUAGGGGAUCGAAGACGAUCAGAUACCGUCGUAGUCUUAACCAUAAACUAUGCCGACUAGGGAUCGGAUGAUGUUAAUUUUUUAAUGACUCAUUCGGCGCCUUACGGGAAAC